rnacentral:siRNA from 1 species
AUAUGCGACUAUACAUAUCUGCA